rnacentral:rRNA from 1 species
CCUACGGGAGGCAGCAGUGGGGAAUAUUGCACAAUGGGCGCAAGCCUGAUGCAGCGACGCCGCGUGAGGGAUGACGGCCUUCGGGUUGUAAACCUCUUUCAGUAGGGAAGGAGCGAAAGUGACGGUACCUGCAGAAGAAGCGCCGGCUAACUACGUGCCAGCAGCCGCGGUAAUACGUAGGGCGCAAGCGUUAUCCGGAAUUAUUGGGCGUAAAGAGCUCGUAGGCGGUUUGUCGCGUCUGCCGUGAAAGUCCGGGGCUCAACUCCGGAUCUGCGGUGGGUACGGGCAGACUAGAGUGAUGUAGGGGAGACUGGAAUUCCUGGUGUAGCGGUGAAAUGCGCAGAUAUCAGGAGGAACACCGAUGGCGAAGGCAGGUCUCUGGGCAUUAACUGACGCUGAGGAGCGAAAGCAUGGGGAGCGAACAGGAUUAGAUACCCUGGUAGUCCAUGCCGUAAACGUUGGGCACUAGGUGUGGGGGACAUUCCACGUUUUCCGCGCCGUAGCUAACGCAUUAAGUGCCCCGCCUGGGGAGUACGGCCGCAGGCAAAACGUCAAAUGAAUUGACGG